CGAUUUUUCGCCGAUCUUUAUUUUUUCUCUCUCUCUCUCUCACUCUGGUUUGGUUUGGUUUUUUUUUUUAUUUUUCUUUUUUUCUUUCUCUCAACGAACGAAAAAGGAGGGAGAGCAAAAUAAUGGAAACGGAAGAGGCUGUGUGUAAAGGCGAGAAAGAGAGACACGCGUGGGUUUUGUGUGUGCGUACCUAUACGCACACGUAUUACAUAUACACGCAACGUGUAAACGAAUGGCGCGCAGCUUGGAUACCAAAAUGGCGGGCGAAACGAAAAAUUUGCACGUUCGAAGAAAAUGGUGACCGUUUGAAAUCGUCUCUUUUCGCGUGUGAUAUAUACAUAUAUAUUUUUUUUUUCUUGCUCGCAUUUUUUUUACACGAUUAAAUAUAGAUAAAUAACGGUCGAAUUUUAUGUAGAUAAAUAAAUAUAUAUAUAUAUGUAUAGGCAUGUAAUCGUUCUUUCGUGG